rnacentral:misc_RNA from 1 species
AAUGAAGCUCAGCUUGAGUUACCUUAUUGCACAAACCAAAUUGUGAAGGAAAAAUUCAAGAGCUAACAUCAUUGUUUGCACUGAAAUGGAUAAGAUGAUUAUAACUAAAAGUAAUCAUAGUUACAGAGUGACAAGACAACAUGAAAACAGAGUUCAAAAGUUUAAUGGAAAAAGUAUAGGAAUUGUCGUACCAAAAGCAGAUUACAAAGAAGACCAACAAAACCUAUCAGAAACAAAAUGAGAAGGUGCAACAUAAAGAGCAUUAGCACACAUCUGGAAGAAGUGCAAACAACCUCAAGGAAAUUUCAGUGAGGCAUCCAAUAAAGAAAAGUUCCCAACAGAGCUCUUAAGGGUGGUUCUUCACUUAAUUUUGCAACUAGCCUCCUACAGUCCUACUUUCUUACACCAACGGCAACUGAUUCAUUGUUCACCAGUUGUGACAUUCAAUCCAACUAGGACAAUAUUUCUCAUAAAAACAACAGCAGAAAAUAUUCUAGAAAUUUUAUUAACAAAAAGCUUAUUAAAUAUAAGGGGAAAACUUAUUACUGAAAUUAUUUGCUCCUAAAACACUUCAAUUAUAAUUUGAAAAUUCACAGAACUGACAGUAGUAUAAAACUACAGUCUUAUAAGAAGUUACUAUUCAUCAAGGGACCCAUAUGGAAUCAAAGUUCCCUCUUAUGGACAUCAGU